rnacentral:piRNA from 1 species
UUUGUUUUUGGCUUACAGUUUAUAGUGUGU